UUCAUUAGGCUGGAGGGACGAAUGGCUUCCCAGAGAUGCGCUGAUCUGCCGGAGGGCAGCCGUGCUCUGCCCCAGAGCUCUGAGGAGGAGGAAGCAGCCUGGGUGCCUUGGAACUGAAAGAAUGCCCACGCAGCCGAGACAGCACCGCCAGUGAAUUCACGGUCCGGGAAACAGAUGAACUGCACCGACCCAGAAAACUCGCAAGGAAGAGAUUCGGAAGUGGAAGAGGGAGAAACAUUGGUCCUUAAGAAACUGCUAAGAGAAAUUUGAGGCCCCGGCGGCAUCGUCUAGAAACACCUUUACGGUCUCAGCGUGGACUUACUAAAAACCGCACUGGGUUGGGGUUCAAGAGAGCCUAGUUUUGUUAGAGGCUGUCUACGACGGUAUGUCAAAUGCUGGACCAUUCUGAAUGCCGACGGACAGACGCUGUCCCGGUAGAGCAGAAAGAAGCCUGCCACUCCUCCAUCAAGAAGGGGAAUCUAUGUCCUUGUGCCUUGAACUUGGAGGACCCUUGUGCCUUGAAUAGAUUGUGGAAGAAGUUAACACCGUCGCUUCCAAGGCUCGGUCAAAAACAAGAUGGCCUCCAUUUGGCUCUUUUUCUGUUGGGAUACUUGCCCUGGGAAUGUAGACGACACCACGUUGUGAGGAAACCCCAGGCACAGACAGGGGCUGCAUUUCUGAAUUCUGACUGAGAACCCCAGCUGAGGCCCCAGUGAGACUAUGCCAGACAUUGGGCAUGUGAGUGAACAUUUAGAUCCCAGCCCCCAGCCUUUGAGCCACACUGGCUGAUGCCAACUGGAGCAGAGGAAGCUCCAAGGAUUUUAGAAGCUCUGAGUCAGCCGCUGGGGAGGAGACCAAAUAUAUAUUUCUGACCGUAUCACACCGCAUUAAUUCCUGUCAUCUUCGUAAAAGCCGUACAAUGUUAGUACCGUUCCUACUUAGAAGCCUGUUUAUCAGAGAAAAACAGGGACCACUCGUUCACUCAUUUCAUAAACAUUUAUUGAGUUUGUGCUGAGCAAUGAUGCAUGAGCUGAGUUGAAGAAUGAAGAGUUAGUAGGUAUAUAUGAGAGUGAUCAUAAUCUCGCAAAAGAAGUAAAGAGGAUGUGGGGGCGAGCUGGCUGCCCAUUGAUCGCCAGGGUUGAUUCGGCUGAUCUGGCUGGCUAGGCGGGUGUCCCCUUCCUCCCUCACCGAUCUAUGUGCGUCCCUCCCGAAGCUGCGCAUUAGGUCGAAGAGGACGGGCCUCUUCAGUCAAGGGUAUACGAGUAGCUGCGUUCCCCCGAUAGAACCUCCAAACAAGCUCUCAAGGUCCGCUGUAGGAGAACGCAGGGUGGUCAAGCUUCCAAGACUCCAGACACAUCCACAUGAGGCGCUGCACGUGGCAGUCUGCCUUUCUUAAAAAAAAAAGAAAUAAAGAAGAAAUAAAGACAUGAGAAAACCUGAUGGAUUUUAUUUUAACCUUCAUAUUUUGAAAUAAAGGGAGAUUCGCGGGAAGUUGUAAGAGAAACGCAUGGGGCGGGGGAGUCCCUUGCCUACAUCAGCUCUCCUUUCUUGAUGUUGGCAUCUUGUCCAGCACCAGAGCAACAGAACGGACGUUGGUACAAUUUGCAAACUCUUCGGUCUUCAUCAGUUCUACGUGCGCUCGUGUGCAUGCCCGCGACCGCGUCGGGGUUUGUCUCCUGUGCGGUCUCUUGGAACUGCCACCGACCGCAAUCAAGAUGCAUGGCUCUUCUGUUACCACGGGCCUGGCGCAGUUAGGGUCGGUGGAGUAGAAUGAUGAACUGGUAAGAGAGGCAAGCAGAGGCCAUGUCCUGGCUGAUGUCCUCACAUUAGGGGGCUUGAAUAUUACACAGAAGGUCUUAAACAGUGAUAAGGGCCAAAACAGAAAUCCCUUU